rnacentral:rRNA from 1 species
AGCCCAACUCUAGCCCAACCCUCACAACCAAACAAACCUAAAAAUCUACUCACCCUCCAAACUAAAACAUUCUCCCAACUUAGUAUAGGCGAUAGAAAAGUUUUAUUAGGCGCGAUAGAGAUCCUGUACCGUAAGGGAAAGAUGAAAUAGCAGUGAACAAGCCAAGCAAUAAACAGCAAAGAUAAACCCUUGUAUCUCUUGCAUCAUGAUAUAGCAAGAACAACCAAGCAAAACGAACUUAAGCUUGCCAUCCCGAAACCCAAGCGAGCUACUUACAAGCAGCUAUCCUUUGAGCGAACCCGUCUCUGUUGCAAAAGAGUGGGAUGACUUGUCAGUAGAGGUGAAAAGCCAAUCGAGCUGGGUGAUAGCUGGUUACCUGUGAAACGAAUCUAAGUUCUACCUUGACCUUUUUCCCCCCGGACCUUCACUAACCCUAAUGAUGCAGGUCAGGAGCAAUUUAAAGGAGGUACAGCUCCUUUAAAAAAGAAUACAAUCUCCCCUAGCGGAUAACCCACCCUACGAACAAAACAUUGUGGGCCUUCAAGCAGCCACCAACAAAGAGUGCGUCAAAGCUCCACCCUCUACAAAACCCCAUAACCAUGCGACUCCCUUCUCACUAACAGGUUAACCUAUAACAAUAGGAGAAUUAAUACUAAAAUGAGUAACUAGGGCAUGCCCUCUCAAGCGCAAACUUACAUACCCCCCAUUAUUAACAGACACUUAAUACCCCCACAUCAACAAGACCCCGUAUUUUACCCACUGUUAAUCCAACCCAGGAGCGCCUGCUAGAAAGAUUAAAAUCUGUAAAAGGAACUAGGCAAACCCCAAGACCCGACUGUUUACCAAAAACAUAGCCUUCAGCUAAACCAAGUAUUGAAGGUGAUGCCUGCCCAGUGACCUAUGUUCAACGGCCGCGGUAUCCUAACCGUGCGAAGGUAGCGCAAUCAAUUGUCCCAUAAAUCGAGACUUGUAUGAAUGGCUAAACGAGGUCUUAACUGUCUCUUGCAGAUAAUCAGUGAAAUUGAUCUCCCUGUGCAAAAGCAGGAAUGAGCACAUAAGACGAGAAGACCCUGUGGAACUUAAAAAUCAACAGCCACCUCACAAAUAAAAUCAAACCUACCCAGGACCACCACCACAACACACUGGCUAACAUUUUUCGGUUGGGGCGACCUUGGAGAAAAACAAACCCUCCAAAAAUAAGACCACCCCUCUUAACCAAGAGCAACCCCUCAACGUACUAACAGUAACCAGACCCAAUACAAUUGAUCAAUGGACCAAGCUACCCCAGGGAUAACAGCGCAAUCCCUUCCAAGAGCCCAUAUCGACGAAGGGGUUUACGACCUCGAUGUUGGAUCAGGACAUCCUAAUGGUGCAGCAGCUAUUAAGGGUUCGUUUGUUCAACGAUUAACAGUCCUACGUGAUCUGAGUUCAGACCGGAGUAAUCCAGGUCGGUUUCUAUCUAUGAUGAACUUUCCCUAGUACGAAAGGACCGGAAAAGUGAGGCCAAUACUUCAAAUUGCACGCCUCCUCUCUAAGUAAUGACCCCAACUAAAUUACUAAGAGAUCCACCAUAAUACCUAAUCCUAAAAAAGGAUC